GGGUUGUGAGGUUAAGCGACUAAGCGUACACGGUGGAUGCCCUGGCAGUCAGAGGCGAUGAAGGACGUGCUAAUCUGCGAUAAGCGUCGGUAAGGUGAUAUGAACCGUUAUAACCGGCGAUUUCCGAAUGGGGAAACCCAGUGUGUUUCGACACACUAUCAUUAACUGAAUCCAUAGGUUAAUGAGGCGAACCGGGGGAACUGAAACAUCUAAGUACCCCGAGGAAAAGAAAUCAACCGAGAUUCCCCCAGUAGCGGCGAGCGAACGGGGAGCAGCCCAGAGCCUGAAUCAGUGUGUGUGUUAGUGGAAGCGUCUGGAAAGGCGCGCGAUACAGGGUGACAGCCCCGUACACAAAAAUGCACAUGCUGUGAGCUCGAUGAGUAGGGCGGGACACGUGGUAUCCUGUCUGAAUAUGGGGGGACCAUCCUCCAAGGCUAAAUACUCCUGACUGACCGAUAGUGAACCAGUACCGUGAGGGAAAGGCGAAAAGAACCCCGGCGAGGGGAGUGAAAAAGAACCUGAAACCGUGUACGUACAAGCAGUGGGAGCACGCUUAGGCGUGUGACUGCGUACCUUUUGUAUAAUGGGUCAGCGACUUAUAUUCUGUAGCAAGGUUAACCGAAUAGGGGAGCCGAAGGGAAACCGAGUCUUAACUGGGCGUUAAGUUGCAGGGUAUAGACCCGAAACCCGGUGAUCUAGCCAUGGGCAGGUUGAAGGUUGGGUAACACUAACUGGAGGACCGAACCGACUAAUGUUGAAAAAUUAGCGGAUGACUUGUGGCUGGGGGUGAAAGGCCAAUCAAACCGGGAGAUAGCUGGUUCUCCCCGAAAGCUAUUUAGGUAGCGCCUCGUGAAUUCAUCUCCGGGGGUAGAGCACUGUUUCGGCAAGGGGGUCAUCCCGACUUACCAACCCGAUGCAAACUGCGAAUACCGGAGAAUGUUAUCACGGGAGACACACGGCGGGUGCUAACGUCCGUCGUGAAGAGGGAAACAACCCAGACCGCCAGCUAAGGUCCCAAAGUCAUGGUUAAGUGGGAAACGAUGUGGGAAGGCCCAGACAGCCAGGAUGUUGGCUUAGAAGCAGCCAUCAUUUAAAGAAAGCGUAAUAGCUCACUGGUCGAGUCGGCCUGCGCGGAAGAUGUAACGGGGCUAAACCAUGCACCGAAGCUGCGGCAGCGACACUGAUGUGUUGUUGGGUAGGGGAGCGUUCUGUAAGCCUGCGAAGGUGUGCUGUGAGGCAUGCUGGAGGUAUCAGAAGUGCGAAUGCUGACAUAAGUAACGAUAAAGCGGGUGAAAAGCCCGCUCGCCGGAAGACCAAGGGUUCCUGUCCAACGUUAAUCGGGGCAGGGUGAGUCGACCCCUAAGGCGAGGCCGAAAGGCGUAGUCGAUGGGAAACAGGUUAAUAUUCCUGUACUUGGUGUUACUGCGAAGGGGGGACGGAGAAGGCUAUGUUGGCCGGGCGACGGUUGUCCCGGUUUAAGCGUGUAGGCUGGUUUUCCAGGCAAAUCCGGAAAAUCAAGGCUGAGGCGUGAUGACGAGGCACUACGGUGCUGAAGCAACAAAUGCCCUGCUUCCAGGAAAAGCCUCUAAGCAUCAGGUAACAUCAAAUCGUACCCCAAACCGACACAGGUGGUCAGGUAGAGAAUACCAAGGCGCUUGAGAGAACUCGGGUGAAGGAACUAGGCAAAAUGGUGCCGUAACUUCGGGAGAAGGCACGCUGAUAUGUAGGUGAAGUCCCUCGCGGAUGGAGCUGAAAUCAGUCGAAGAUACCAGCUGGCUGCAACUGUUUAUUAAAAACACAGCACUGUGCAAACACGAAAGUGGACGUAUACGGUGUGACGCCUGCCCGGUGCCGGAAGGUUAAUUGAUGGGGUUAGCCGCAAGGCGAAGCUCUUGAUCGAAGCCCCGGUAAACGGCGGCCGUAACUAUAACGGUCCUAAGGUAGCGAAAUUCCUUGUCGGGUAAGUUCCGACCUGCACGAAUGGCGUAAUGAUGGCCAGGCUGUCUCCACCCGAGACUCAGUGAAAUUGAACUCGCUGUGAAGAUGCAGUGUACCCGCGGCAAGACGGAAAGACCCCGUGAACCUUUACUAUAGCUUGACACUGAACAUUGAGCCUUGAUGUGUAGGAUAGGUGGGAGGCUUAGAAGUGUGGACGCCAGUCUGCAUGGAGCCGACCUUGAAAUACCACCCUUUAAUGUUUGAUGUUCUAACGUUGACCCGUAAUCCGGGUUGCGGACAGUGUCUGGUGGGUAGUUUGACUGGGGCGGUCUCCUCCUAAAGAGUAACGGAGGAGCACGAAGGUUGGCUAAUCCUGGUCGGACAUCAGGAGGUUAGUGCAAUGGCAUAAGCCAGCUUGACUGCGAGCGUGACGGCGCGAGCAGGUGCGAAAGCAGGUCAUAGUGAUCCGGUGGUUCUGAAUGGAAGGGCCAUCGCUCAACGGAUAAAAGGUACUCCGGGGAUAACAGGCUGAUACCGCCCAAGAGUUCAUAUCGACGGCGGUGUUUGGCACCUCGAUGUCGGCUCAUCACAUCCUGGGGCUGAAGUAGGUCCCAAGGGUAUGGCUGUUCGCCAUUUAAAGUGGUACGCGAGCUGGGUUUAGAACGUCGUGAGACAGUUCGGUCCCUAUCUGCCGUGGGCGCUGGAGAACUGAGGGGGGCUGCUCCUAGUACGAGAGGACCGGAGUGGACGCAUCACUGGUGUUCGGGUUGUCAUGCCAAUGGCACUGCCCGGUAGCUAAAUGCGGAAGAGAUAAGUGCUGAAAGCAUCUAAGCACGAAACUUGCCCCGAGAUGAGUUCUCCCUGACUCCUUGAGAGUCCUGAAGGAACGUUGAAGACGACGACGUUGAUAGGCCGGGUGUGUAAGCGCAGCGAUGCGUUGAGCUAACCGGUACUAAUGAACCGUGAGGCUUAACCUUACAACGCCGAAGGUGUUU
rnacentral:rRNA from 1 species